CCUACGGGGGGCAGCAGUGAGGAAUAUUGGUCAAUGGGCGCGAGCCUGAACCAGCCAAGUCGCGUGAGGGAAGACGGUCCUAUGGAUUGUAAACCUCUUUUGUCGGGGAGCAAAAGACGCCACGCGUGGCGUUCCGAGAGUACCCGAAGAAAAAGCAUCGGCUAACUCCGUGCCAGCAGCCGCGGUAAUACGGAGGAUGCGAGCGUUAUCCGGAUUUAUUGGGUGUAAAGGGCGUGUAGGCGGGAGCGCAAGUCAGAUGUGAAAACUCAGGGCUCAACCCUGAGCCUGCAUUUGAAACUGGGUGUCUUGAGUGAGUGAGAGGUAGGCGGAAUGCGUGGUGUAGCGGUGAAAUGCAUAGAUAUCACGCAGAACACCGAUUGCGAAGGCAGCAUACCGGCGCUCAACUGACGCUCAUGCACGAAAGUGUGGGUAUCGAACAGGAUUAGAUACCCGAGUAGUC
rnacentral:rRNA from 1 species